GGUUCGAUUAUGGCUCAGAUUGAACGCUGGCGGGUGCUUUACGCCAGUCAGGCAGCGGCACGGACUUCCGGUCUGGUGGCGAGUGGCGAGCGGUGAGUAAUGUAUCGGAACGUGCCUAGUAGCAGGGGGAUAACUACGCGAAAGCGUAGCUAAUGCCACAUACGCCCUUCGAAGCUUGAGGGGGACCUUCGGGCCUCGCACUAUUAAGAGCGGCCGAUAUCGGAUUAGCUAGUUGGUGGGGUAACGGCUCACCAAGGCGACGAUCCGUAGCCUGGUUGAGACGACCAGCCACACUGGGACUGAGACACAUUUGAACUCCUGCGGGAGGCAACGGUGGGGGUUUUGGACAAUGGGGAAACCUGAUCCGUAUCCCGCGUGUGCGAUGAAGGCCUUCGGGUUGUAAGCACUUUUGGCAGAAGGAAAGAAACGUCGUGGGUUAAUACCCCGCGAAACUGACAGUACCUGCAGAAUAAGCACCGGCUAACUACGUGCCAGCGACGCGUGUCGUAAGUGCAAAGGCGUUAAUCAGAUUACUAGGGCGUAAAGCGUGCGCAGGCGGUUCGGAAGAAGAUGUGAAAUCCCAGAGCUUAACUGGAACUGCAUUUUUAACUACCGGGCGGCUAGAGUGUGUCAGAGGGAGGUGGAAUUCCGCGUGUAGCAGUGAAAUGCGUAGAUAUGCGGAGGAACACCGAUAGGCUGGCCUACCGGGACCAACACUGACGGCAUGCACGAAAGCGUGGGGAACAAACAGGAUUGAUCACCCUGUUGGUCCACGCCUAACGAUGUCAACUAGCUGUUAGGGCCUUCGGGCGUGGUAGCGUAGCUAACGCGUGAAGUUGACCGCCUGGGGAGUACGGUCGCAAGAUUAAAACUCAAAGGAAUUGACGGGGAUUACUGAAAGCAGUGGAUAUUGAUGGCGGAUUAAUUCGAUGCAACGCGAAAAACCUUUACAUGACAUGUGGAAUGCCGAAGAGAUUUGGCAGUGCUCGCGAAGAACCGGAACACAGGUACUGCAUGGCCGCAUCGUCAGCUCGUGUCGUGAGAUGUUGGGUUAAGUCCCGCAACGAGCGCAGCCCUUGUCAUUAGUUGCUACGAAGGGCACUCUAAUGGGACUGCCGGUGACAAACCGGAGGAAGGUGAGGAUGACGUCAGAUCCUCAUGGCCCUUAUGGUAGGGCUUCUGCGUCAUACAAUGGUCGGGACAGAGGUCGCCAACCCGCGAGAGGCCAAUCCGAAACCCGAUCGUGGUCGAAGAUCGCAGUCUGCAACUCGACUGCGUGAAGUCGGAAUCGCUAGUAAUCGCGGAUCAACAUCGCGGUGGAAUACGUUCCAGACAUACACACCGCCCGUCACACCAUGGGAGUGGGUUUUACCAGAAGUAGUUGACCUAACCGCAAGGGGGGCGAUUACCACGGUAGGAUUCAUGACUGGGGGUGAAGUCGUAACAAGGUAA
rnacentral:rRNA from 1 species